GACGAACGCUGGCGGCGUGCUUAACACAUGCAAGUCGAACGGAAAGGCCCUGCUUGCAGGGUACUCGAGUGGCGAACGGGUGAGUAACACGUGGGUGAUCUGCCCUGCACUUCGGGAUAAGCCUGGGAAACUGGGUCUAAUACCGGAUAGGAGCCAUUUUUAGUGUGAUGGUUGGAAAGUUUUUUCGGUGUAGGAUGAGCUCGCGGCCUAUCAGCUUGUUGGUGGGGUAAUGGCCUACCAAGGCGGCGACGGGUAGCCGGCCUGAGAGGGUGGACGGCCACAUUGGGACUGAGAGACGGCCAAGACUCCUACGGGAGGCAGCAGUGGGGAAUAUUGCACAAUGGGCGCAAGCCUGAUGCAGCGACGCCGCGUGGGGGAUGACGGCCUUCGGGUUGUAAACUCCUUUCGCUAGGGACGAAGCUUUUUGUGACGGUACCUAGAUAAGAAGCACCGGCUAACUACGUG
rnacentral:rRNA from 1 species